rnacentral:rRNA from 1 species
UACGGAGGGUGCAAGCGUUAAUCGGAAUUACUGGGCGUAAAGCGUGCGCAGGCGGUUUGUUAAGUCCGCUGUGAAAUUCCCGAGCUCAACUUGGGAAUUGCAGUGGAUACUGGCAAGCUGGAGUAUGGUAGAGGAAGGUGGAAUUCCCGGUGUAGCAGUGAAAUGCGUAGAGAUCGGGAGGAACACCAGUGGCGAAGGCGGCCUUCUGGACCAAUACUGACGCUCAUGCACGAAAGCGUGGGGAGCAAACAGG